UACGUAGGGGGCAAGCGUUGUCCGGAUUUAUUGGGCGUAAAGAGCGUGUAGGCGGCUAGGUAGGUCCGUUGUGAAAACUCGAGGCUCAACCUCGAGACGUCGAUGGAAACCAUCUGGCUAGAGUCCGGAAGAGGAGAGUGGAAUUCCUGGUGUAGCGGUGAAAUGCGCAGAUAUCAGGAAGAACACCCGUGGCGAAGGCGGCUCGCUGGGACGGUACUGACGCUGAGACGCGAAAGCGUGGGGAGCGAACAGG
rnacentral:rRNA from 1 species